rnacentral:rRNA from 1 species
GACGAACGCUGGCGGCGUGCCUAAUACAUGCAAGUCGAACGCAGUGGCGGACGGGUGAGUAACUCGUGGGUAACUACCCAUUAGAGGUGGCUAACUAUUGGAAACGAUAGCUAAUACCGCAUACUGUGUGAUGGACCUGCGUUGUAUUAGCGAGUUGGUGUGGUAAAGGUUCACACAGGCGACGAUAAAUCGCCGACGGGGGAGGGUGAGCGGCCACCCUGGGACUGAGACACGGCCCAGACUGCUACGGGAGGCAGCAGUAGGGAAACUGCGGCAAUGGACGGAGGUCUGAGCGAGCAACGCGGAGUGAGUGAAGAAGGUUUUCGGAUCGGAAAGCUAUGUUGGUAGAGAAGCGGUAACUAACCAGAAAGGAACGGCUAACUACGUGCCAGCAGCCGCGGUAAUUC